rnacentral:tRNA from 1 species
GCCCAGAUGGUGGAAUUGGUAGACACGCUAUCUUGAGGUGGUAGUGCCAACUGGCGUGGGAGUUCGAGUCUCCCUCUGGGCACCA